AUUGUCUGGCGUUAGACAGAGUAAAAUAAUCUUGCGUUUAAUCAAGCAGCUACUUUUUCAAAAGCUCAACCAGGCUAAAGAUUCUUUGAUUUGAAAACCAAAGUGAUAGUGAACUAGUUAGUUGAAACAAACAGAAUUGUUUGAUUUAUUUACUUUCCACAACAUUGACAAUUAAAAUUUAAUUUGAUACUUUUCCAGUAUGCAUUCUUCAUUGACAUUAUAGAGGUUCAGAUUUGACUACCAUUACCAUUAAGGGACCAUCAAAUGCAUUUGAUAUAUUCGAUCAACCAUUAUAACCAAUCAGAUGCAUACUAAGGCAGUCAGAG
rnacentral:lncRNA from 1 species